rnacentral:lncRNA from 1 species
UAUGAUACAAAAAAGUUAUGUGAUUUCUAUUGGUGACAAAGUUAUAGAUACUGUAAACAAAGUUAUUAGUACUGCAGCAGUGCUAAUAGGCGCUGCUAAUACUAUAAAUGAAACGCUAAAUUUCAAUUAGAGGUUAGGAGAAAUAAAGAGAAAUCUCACUAGGGACAUAGAACAGCAUUUAGGACCCAGAUGAAGUUACAAACCAUGAAUACACGGAGACGUAAAAUAAUGAUGUGAAAAUUUCAAUUUUUCUUCUAGUGUAUAGGUGUCCUUGUGUAGGACCAGUGAAGGCAGACAACAGAAUUAAGGGAGAGCGAUUGAUGGUUAGAUGUGUAAGAAGGACAAGAGAGUUUAGGGUUUUGUCAUGGAAGUCAUUAGAUGGUGAGAAUCAUGAGAUAAGACAUAAUGUCAGUUUAAUUUACUAUAGUAUUCCAAGAGCCUACCACUAUUAGUUGAGUAAGUGGAAUGGUUGAAGUGACAAAUCUCUUCAAAUAAACAAAUGAACGAAAGAGGGAAAGCUGGUUGAGAAUGAAGAGAAAUGGAGCUUUCAAAAUCAAAGUUGAAGGCAAGGAGGUGAAAUCUGUGAUCAAAUUGAAACAAUGAACAGUUGGAACAGUUGUGGUCAGGGAGUGGAACUAGAGUUUAGGAUAUCAGCUAGUGAGGUAGUUUCCUGUGAGAAAUACACAGCUUCUCAGUAAAGGUACUUGGGAAUGUGCAAAGGAACCAAGAAUUAGGCAAAAAGGAAACAUUUGUGUGCAAGAAUCCCACGUUUGGGAUGAGAUGGCAUGUACUCUGAAAGGGAAUGAAGGGGAAUGAAUUCUUAGCAAUAGUUUCAUUUCCUUUGUGUAAGCUUUUUAUUGAAUUUUGACAUACCACAAAGAAGUACACAAGUUCUAAGUCUAUAGCUUGAUACAUUUUUAUAUCUGUGUAACCACUACCCAGGUCAAGAAAUUAUGAGCUCCCAGAAGUCUCUCAUACGCUGUCUCCCAGUUGUGAGCACCUUUUACCAAAGCCAUGAGAAUCCCAGCUGGUAUGAAGAGUUACCAAGGCAGAGGAAGGGUGAAGGACACUUCACGGACUGCAUGAGCAAAGCCACAGAGACGUAAAAAAGCA